ACCAGAAAGACAUACCUGACUAAUUGAGAUUGAACUUUGGCAGGAAGCUUUUCGUUUUGUGUAAGACAUUCAUGGUUUGAUGUGUAUGGUAAAGAAAACUCCCAAGCCAUAAGUGAUGGUCAUUUAUUAUGGCAAGCUGACGGAGAUGUUCCGGGUUUCGAACUAUCAACUUUAUAAUGCAUAUGCAUGGUCCAAACUGUUCUCACGACAAAGUGGACAAAAACAAUGGAGGCUAUGGAUAUGUUUCAGCUGCUCAAGAUCCUAACAUGUAUCCUAACCAAGGCUAUGUCGGUCCUGGAUAUGCACUUGGGAACUGUAAUCAAGUCUCGCAUCCCAGGCCUCCAGUCGAUAAUUAAUAAAAGUAUUGCUGAACUAGAGGCGGAAUUGAGUCGUUUUGGCAAGCCUGUUGCUUUUGAUGG